GGGGGCGGGCUGUCGGCCGAGACUUCUGGAUGGCGGCGGCCGCGGCUCCGCCCCGGGUUCCCACCUCCUGAAGGGCGAGAGACAAGCCCGACCUGCUACGGGCACUCGUGGGGGUGGGGGAGGAGCAGGGGUCGGUCCGGCUGGUUUGUGGGUGGGAGGCGCUUGUUCUCCAAAAACCGGCGCGAGCUGCAGUCCUGAGGGAGCUGCGGUGGAGGAGGCGGAGAGAAGGCCGCACCCUUCUGGGCAGGGGGAGGGGAGUGCCGCAAUACCUUUAUGGGAGUUCUUUGCUGCUUCUCGUCUUGUAAGGACCGCCCUGGACCUGGAAGAAGCCCUCCCUCCUCUCCUCCCCGCGUGAUCUCGUCAUCGCCUCCAUGUCGAGUCGCUUCUCGAUUAUGGGCGGGAUUCUUUUGCCUAGGCUUAAGGGGCUAACUUUGUGCCUGGGCGUUGCCCUGCAGGGGACUUGAGCAGCUGUAAGAUUUGAGGGGCGAGUGCGAUUAGUUAUCUUCCCACGGACUUGAGUUGGUGUCGAGGUUAUUGUAAUAAGGGUGGGGUAGGGAAAUGGAGACUAGUCAUUCACCUGGGGCUGAUUUUAUGCAACGAGACUGCGGAUUAUCACUACUUAUCGUUUUUGGAGCAUGUUUCUAGAGACAGACAUAAAGCAUGAUCACCUGAAUUUUAUACCAUUUGAGACCCUUGCUGCACCACCAAAGUGUAGCAUCAGGUUAAAUCUUAAUAGAAAAAUUUUAGCCUUUGCUUGAGAAACCAGUGCUUCCCUCCCUCACCGUCUCUCCCCAGGCUCUUUACCCCUUUGCAUACCUACCAGGCAUCUUAGCAACUCUCACUCGUACUUGAUCACAUUUUCCAUUUGUUGUACUUGCUGAUCUAGUAUUCAGACACAGCACUAGCUUUCUCCCUCUCUUGAUCUUGGGUAGCCUGGUGACUCGCGAAACCAGACAGAUUGGUUCCACCACAAAUUAAGGCUUGAGCUGGGGCUUGACUCUUACCCAGCAGUGCUUUUAUUCCUCCCUAGUUCACGUUCUUAAAUAUUUACCUUGAUUUUCAUUUUAUCCUUUUUCCUUAGCUGGGAUUCUAUCCCUGACCCUCUUCACAGUCCAGGUGAUCUUGACUACUGCUUUACAGAGAAUUGGAUCUGAGGUUAGGCAACAUCUCCCUUUCUCUUCCUCUAAAUACCUCUCAUUUCUGUUCUCAUCAGUUAGUAACUGAUCUCAGAUGCCUGUGUGAUAGCUUCCAAAUUGCUGUCUGUCUUUAGUGUUAUCUUCUGAUCCAUCUUACAUCUUGUUAGGAUGAUUGUCCUAAAGGAAGAUAGAGCAUGAAAAUGACAGAUGAAACUCCAUUACUGGCUUGUACUGUUUACAGCAGGUUGUCUAACCCGCGGGCCGCAAUGGGACCCAGGACAGCUUUGAAUGCGGCCCAACACAAAUUCGUAAACUUUCUUAAAAUGUUAGAUUUUUUUGCGGGGUGUUUUUUUUGUUGUUUGUUUUUUUUUUGCUCAUCAGCUGUCCUUUAUGUGUGGCCCAAGACAAUUCUUGCAGUGUGGCCCAGGGAAGCCAAAAGACUGGACACCCCUGGUUUACAGGAUGAAUUCUGUCCUCGUGAAUGUGAUGCAUAAGGUCCCUGGAUAGACUUUCCUCAAUUUAACAGCUUUUUCAUUUUUCACUAUUUUCCACAUACUACACACACAAACAUGACUUCUCUUCUGAAGUCACAUGGAAUGAAUUGCAGUUACCCAAAUCAUAGAGACAUUGUCAUAUAUCUUUGUGGGGUGGUUCUUUUUGGAAUGCUACCCUUGCUGCUUUUAAUCCUGCAGAUUGAAAUGUCAUCUCCCCUUUGGUCAUGCCUUCCACGGUCUGUUGUUCUAUGAGCCAAACUCUCCUUUUAAAAAAGCAGUUUUCUCUUGACUCCUGAGCAGUUUGUACUGCGUGGGUCAUAGUACUUCUCGGGUUGUUGUCAUUGCUGAUUUAAAUUAUCUUAACUAUUCUGAGCUUUUUGAAGGAACAGUGUCUUGUACUCCUGAGCUCCUAGUAAACUCUGAUGUCUAGCCAACUCUAAGUAAAUGGAGUGAGCGACAUGUAAAUGUCUUUAUGGUUUGACAUUUUAUCCAUCUUGAGCAUUGGAAAAGUGGCUGGUAUGACUAAAGAACUGAAUUUUUAUUUUUUAUCUAAUUUAAAUUGCAACUGUGGACAGUGUAGCUGUAGCCCCAGACUUGUUCUGUGGAUUACAGAAUACGUGGACAUUGAUUGUUUUCUCUUUUUAUUGAGCAGUAAGGAAAUAAAAGCUGAAGCUCCCUGGCCCAUUAAAUUUCAUUUAACUGCUUGUUUUGUUUUAUUUAUUAUAUAUUUAGCUGAAAGCUAAGUCCAACAAACCAUUUUUAAAGAUGUGCCUGCCUUGGACAACGGUGAAAGCAAGUGUUAAUAAGUUUGGAUUUUAAAAAAAAAUGCAUAGUGAAUUUUAGGGAGAUGUGGAAACAGCAAGAGAACUAGAAUUGGAAGUAAAGCGUUGAAGAUGUGACUGAAUUGCUGCAAUCUCAUGAUCAAAUUUGAAUGGAUGAGGAGUUGCUUCUUAG
rnacentral:antisense_RNA from 1 species